AUGUCCAGCACCGGUAGUCACUUCGACGGAAGCUCCGGAGACGAGGAGGAGCUGGCGCUUCGUAUUGCGCUCGAGUGGUCACGGGUCGAUAUGGGCGGCAGCUCCAGGUGGGAGGACAACGUGGGGCGCUCCGUCCCCACCACAAAGUUCCGCCCCCGCAAUCCCGAGCGGCGGGACAGUUAUGUGCUCGACUGCCGCCAUGGCCGCAUUCUUCUUGGGUGUAGGUGGUACGAUGAGGGGGAGGAGGAAGCUGACGAGCAGUUGAAAGAGGAAGAAGAUGAUAUCGAGGAGGACGGUGAGGGGGAAGAAGCUGACAAGGAGGAGGAAGAAUAUGAUACGGAUGAGGAGGGGGAGGAGGACGACGAAGAUGAAGAUGAGGGGAAGGAAGAUGACAGGGUCUCGAAGAUGGUCGUCUGGGACCCCGUGUCGGGAAAGCCGAAUCCAGUUGCGCAGCCCCGACAUUUUCGACCCUGA
rnacentral:rRNA from 1 species